UACGUAGGGUGCAAGCGUUGUCCGGAAUUAUUGGGCGUAAAGAGCUCGUAGGCGGUUUGUCGCGUCUGCUGUGAAAACCUAAGGCUCAACCUUGGGCUUGCAGUGGGUACGGGCAGACUAGAGUGCGGUAGGGGUGACUGGAAUUCCUGGUGUAGCGGUGGAAUGCGCAGAUAUCAGGAGGAACACCGAUGGCGAAAGGCAGGUCACUGGGCCGCAACUGACGCUGGAGGAGCGAAAGCCAUGGGGGAGCGAACAGG
rnacentral:rRNA from 1 species